rnacentral:rRNA from 1 species
GACGAACGCUGGCGGCGUGCUUAACACAUGCAAGUCGAACGGUAAGGCCCUUCGGGGUACACGAGUGGCGAACGGGUGAGUAACACGUGGGUAAUCUGCCCUGCACAUCGGGAUAAGCCUGGGAAACUGGGUCUAAUACCGAAUAGGACCACAGGGCACAUGUCCUGUGGUGGAAAGCUUUUGCGGUGUGGGAUGGGCCCGCGGCCUAUCAGCUUGUUGGUGGGGUGAUGGCCUACCAAGGCGACGACGGGUAGCCGGCCUGAGAGGGUGUCCGGCCACACUGGGACUGAGAUACGGCCCAGACUCCUACGGGAGGCAGCAGUGGGGAAUAUUGCACAAUGGGCGAAAGCCUGAUGCAGCGACGCCGCGUGGGGGAUGACGGCCUUCGGGUUGUAAACCUCUUUCACCAUCGACGAAGGUCCGGGUUUUCUCGGGCUGACGGUAGGUGGAGAAGAAGCACCGGCCAACUACGUG